UUCCGUUUUACAGUUAAUAUAAACUACGUAUUUUUUUUAUAUAGCAACAUACUUUCAUAGAUAACCAAAACUUGACAGAUGUCGAUGACAGUCCCAUGAAGAAAUUAAAAUUGACGAGUCAAUGAAAUGUGUUUUGUAUUUGUUAUUAUGCAUUAAGUAAAAUUGUAUGUCUGUAACCUUGUACUAUCCUCUUAUAUUACUUCAAUUGUUAAGUACUCUGGAUAUAUAAAUAUUACUUCGCCUCAGAGAUGAUUUAGUCCAGUGUGUUCCAACAAAAAAAGGUCACCACAUAAUGUUUCAAGGAUAUACGUAUACAUUUAAGAGUAAACUUCAAUGUGGGGCUGAGCAAUGGUGUUGUUCUUACAGGCAGAAAACUGGUUGUAUAUCAAUAAUAAACAUGCAAACAUAUGGUGUUGAAGUCGUGAGGGAUUU